CGGGUGAGUAACGCGUGAGCAACCUGCCUAUGACAGUGGGAUAGCCUCGGGAAACCGGGAUUAAUACCGCAUAAAAUCGUAGAAACACAUGUUUUAACGGUCAAAGAUUUAUCGGUCAUAGAUGGGCUCGCGUCUGAUUAGCUAGUUGGUGAGAUAACAGCCCACCAAGGCGACGAUCAGUAGCCGGUCUGAGAGGAUGAACGGCCACAUUGUAACUGAGACACAGUCCAA
rnacentral:rRNA from 1 species